AUUUCUAUUUGUUCUUAGGUUCUUCUCACCUAUAGCUAAAGUCAAAGACGACAAAACCAAGUGGAUUAUUGUUGUUACAAGAUACACAAAAUCAUCGGUCAUCUAAAUCUUUUUUUCUAAUAUGACUGUUGGUGCUGCUCAUGAGGCUAGCCACCGGCUUGGAAGGGAUGAGAGGCAAUCACUGUUGUCAACUUGAAACGUAUAAUUUUUUAGGAACGAAGAUCUGAAUCACCCUCCCGCCUCGAGAGAAAUCAGUUUAGUCAUUCAGGUUCUGGUAUUUCUUUAUAGCUUUCUGAGUUUACUUUGGUCUUUCAUGUAUUUGCUUUCUGUUUGUGCCCCUAUCUAUUUCUUUUCUUGUGUGCAAGCGCUCCAUUCUGUGUGUGUCCGACUUUGUGUGGCUUGAUUCUCUUGUGUGUGUGGCUUGACUGUCUGUGUGUGUCACUGUGUGUUUGACUGUGUGUGAAUAUUGCAUUUGACUGUGAUGCGUUACUAUGUUUGACUCUGUGUGUGUGAUUGUGUGAAUAUUGUGCAUUUGACUGUGAUGUGUGACUGUGUGAGUAUUGUAUUUUGACAAUGACUGUGUGUGGCUUGACUGUGUGUGUGUGUGGCUUGUAUGCUUUGCUGAAU